UCGAGUGAUUUGCUACCGCUGUCAUCCACGCGUCAUCAUUUUGUUAGUAGGGGUGAUCGCGGGACGAUCCCCGCGUCCUGCGUUCGCUGCUCACGUUAGGGUAAGCAAUUCCUCCUAUGCCCUUCUCGUCUCUGCUCUCCCUCGCCCUCUCCCUCUCCGAUCUUUCUACCCUUCACCCUCGUCGUGAUCGUUACUGCGUCAAGGAGUUAUACCAACAUGACUUCUAGGAUUUCAGUGACAGACAUAAUUAUUUUGUGUUUUUGUGGACUACCGGCUCUGUUACUCACGUCGCGUCAGCCUCAUAGCAGUGAGAGACAGUUUUACGGUUGUCGCAGAGGUGUUUCAGCUCGUUGUAGUUUCUUCCAAUGGGCGACACUCCGACAUGUUACACUGCCAGCAGUGA